rnacentral:rRNA from 1 species
CUCAAUUUGUAAUCUGGCUGUCUUCGAUAGUUGAGGUGNAGUCUAUAUACGUGUUUUCCGUGCUGGACCGUAUNUAAGUCCCAUAUGGAACAGGGUAUCAAAGAGGGUGACAAUCCCGUGCUUGAUACGACCACCAGUGCUCUGUGAUACACGUUCUANGAGUCNAGUUGUUUGGGAAUGCAGCUCAAAAUGGGUGGUAAAUUCCAUCUAAAGCUAAAUAUUGGCGAGAGACCGAUAGCGAACAAGUACCGUGAGGGAAAGAUGAAAAGCACUUUGGAAAGAGAGUUAAACAGUACGUGAAAUUGUUUGGAGUGGAAACGAUUGAAGUCAGUCGUGUUCUUCAGAUUCAGCUGGUUCUUCCAGUCUACUUCUGUUGAACGGGUCAACAUCAGUUUUGUCCGGUGGAUAAAGACNGUAGGAAUGUGACUCCCCCGGGAGUGUUAUAGCCUAUUGUUGCNUACACUGGGUGAGACUGANGACUGCAGCUCGCCUUUUGGCCGGUCUUCGGACNCGUUCGAGCUUAGAUGUUGACAUAAUGGCU